rnacentral:rRNA from 1 species
CCCUUAGAUGUUCUGGGCCGCACGCGCGCUACACUGACGAAGUCAGCGAGCAUGUCCUACGCCGACAGGUGCGGGGAAUCUUGUCAAACUUCGUCGUGAUGGAGAUUGAUUAUUGAAAUUCUUGAUCAUCAACGAGGAAUUCCUAGUAAGCGCAAGUCAGCAGCUUGCGUUGAUUACGUCCCUGCCCUUUGUACACACCGCCCGUCGCUACUACCGAUUGAAUGGUUUAGUGAGAUCUUCGGAUUGGCGCCACUGCGGCUCAGCAAUGGGCUCGGUGGAUGCCGAAAAGUUGAUCAAACUUGAUCAUUUAGAGGAAGUAAAAGUCGUAACA